rnacentral:sRNA from 1 species
CCCUAUUUGGACCAUAAUUAGUCGGUCAGUAUGGUAAUUGACCUCAAGAUC